UACGUAGGUGGCGAGCGUUGUCCGGAUUUACUGGGCGUAAAGAGCGCGCAGGCGGUCGUACAAGUCGCGUGUGAAAGCCCCCGGCUCAACUGGGGAGGGUCACGCGAUACUGUUCGACUCGAAGGCAGGAGAGGGAAGCGGAAUUCCCGGUGUAGUGGUGAAAUGCGUAGAUAUCGGGAGGAACACCAAUGGCGAAGGCAGCACUCUGGGACGUGACUGACGCUGAGACGCGAAAGCGUGGGGAGCAAACAGG
rnacentral:rRNA from 1 species